UACGUAGGGUGCGAGCGUUAAUCGGAAUUACUGGGCGUAAAGCGUGCGCAGGCGGUGAUGUAAGACAGAUGUGAAAUCCCCGGGCUCAACCUGGGAACUGCAUUUGUGACUCCAUCGCUGGAGUGCGGCAGAGGGGGAUGGAAUUCCGCGUGUAGCAGUGAAAUGCGUAGAUAUGCGGAGGAACACCGAUGGCGAAGGCAAUCCCCUGGGCCUGCACUGACGCUCAUGCACGAAAGCGUGGGGAGCAAACAGG
rnacentral:rRNA from 1 species